rnacentral:rRNA from 1 species
AUAGCGCSGGGAAAGCCCAUUUUAACCCUGGCGCCCUCAGGGUGUCCGAGUUGUUUCUAUAGAGGYGCUUUCCGCGCCGGACCGCGUCCAAGUCCCUUGGAACAGGGUAUCCAGAGGGUGACAAUCCCGUACUUGACACGACUACCGGUGCUCUGUGAUACCUCUUCUACGAAUCGAGUUGUUUGGGAAUGCAACUCAAAAUGGGUGGUGACUUCCAUCUAAAGCUAAAUAUUGGAGAGAGACCGAUAGCGAACAAGUACCGUGAGGGAAAGAUGAAAAGAACUUUGGAAAGAGAGUUAAACACUACGUGAAAUUGUUGAAAGGYAAACGAUUGAAGUCAGUCAUGACCGAGAGGCUCAGCCGGCUCUGCCGGUGUAUUCCCCUCGGYCGGGUCAACAUCAGUUUUGUCCGGUGGAUAAGGGUGGUAGGAAGGYGGCACCCACGGUUGUGCCAUAGCCUGCCGUCAAUACACUGGGUGAGACUGAGGAAUGCA